rnacentral:rRNA from 1 species
UACGUAGGGAGCAAGCGUUUGUCCGGAAUCAUUGGGCGUAAAGCGCGCGUAGGUGGCUUCGUAAGUCCGUUGUGAAAGUCAAAGGCUCAACCUUUGAAAGCCGAUGGAUACUGCGGAGCUAGAGUACGGAAGAGGCGAGUGGAAUUCCUGGUGUAGCGGUGGAAUGCGCAGAUAUCAGGAGGAACACCAAUAGCGAAGGCAGCUCGCUGGGACGUUACUGACACUGAGGCGCGAAAGCGUGGGGAGCGAACAGG